rnacentral:rRNA from 1 species
AAACUUAAAGGAAUUGACGGGGACCCGCACAAGCGGUGGAGCAUGUGGUUUAAUUCGAAGCAACGCGAAGAACCUUACCAAAUCUUGACAUCCUUUGAAAACUCUAGAGAUAGAGCCUUCCCCUUCGGGGGACAAAGUGACAGGUGGUGCAUGGUUGUCGUCAGCUCGUGUCGUGAGAUGUUGGGUUAAGUCCCGCAACGAGCGCAACCCUUAAACUUAGUUGCCAGCAUUUAGUUGGGCACUCUAGGUUGACUGCCGGUGACAAACCGGAGGAAGGUGGGGAUGACGUCAAAUCAUCAUGCCCCUUAUGAUUUGGGCUACACACGUGCUACAAUGGACAAUACAAAGGGCAGCUAAACCGCGAGGUCAUGCAAAUCCCAUAAAGUUGUUCUCAGUUCGGAUUGUAGUCUGCAACUCGACUACAUGAAGCUGGAAUCGCUAGUAAUCGUAGAUCAGCAUGCUACGGUGAAUACGUUCCCGGGUCUUGUACACACCGCCCGUCACACCGCGAGAGUUUGUAACACCCGAAGCCGGUGGAGUAACCAUUUAUGGAGCUAGCCGUCGAAGGUGGGACAAAUGAUUGGGGUGAAGUCGUAACAAGGUAACCAAG